rnacentral:ncRNA from 1 species
UAAGAAACCGCCACACAUCAUUGCAGGUACAGAAUUGUGAUCUCAGACAAAUUAUGAUUUUUUAUCAGUUUGUAUACAUUGGGGGGUCGUGAAGACUUUAUCAGUGAGGAUUUGCUCUCGGAAGGGCAAUGAUGAAUAUUAAACUGUCAGACAUAGUACGAUAAGGUUGUAUGUCUAAAGGGAAACAGCCCAGAACAAGAGUUAAAGGUUCCAAAAUUAUUGUUAAGUGAAAUUAAGGAAGUUUUUUUCGAAUACAACCAGGAAAUAGGCUUAGAAGCGGCCAUUUUUUAAAGAUCUCGUAACAGAGCACUGGUUUAUUAAUAGUUAGUUAUCCGUACAGUAGUCUAUAUGUGUUCAUCGAUAAUAAAGUUUGUUUUUAAAGACAUUAAACUAACUGAGUUAAACGCACCGAAAAUUUAACGGAUCUAAACAAUAUACCGAAACCUUGUACAUAAAUAGUAUUUAUUUAUGGGGUAGCGGAACAUUGGGUAAUCUUAGAAUUAAUAUCAUUGAUAUUAUUUAAGUUAAACCUUAAACUAUAAUAAAAUUGUGAAAGACUUUAUUAUGUUCUAGAUUUUAACGAGAUAACCCCAAGCGAGAAUGCUGACAUGAGUAACGAAAAAGGGAAAUCCCCUCGCCUUAAGCUUAUGGUAUUUUGUUAAAGUAACGGCCCCUAAGUUUAUUGAUCUCACCUAAAG